rnacentral:rRNA from 1 species
AUACGUAGGGGGCGAGCGUUGUCCGGAAUUAUUGGGCGUAAAGGGUGCGUAGGCGGCAUGGCAAGUCCUGUGUGAAAGGUCGCGGCUUAACCGCGGUGGUCAUGGGAAACUGCCAAGCUUGAGUGCCGGAGAGGAUAGCGGAAUUCCACGUGUAGCGGUGAAAUGCGUAGAUAUGUGGAGGAACACCUGUGGCGAAGGCGGCUAUCUGGAAGGUAACUGACGCUGAGGCACGACAGCUGGGGGAGCAAACAGGAUUAGAUACCCUGGUAGUCCCAGCCGUAAACGAUGAGUGCUAGGUGUUGCGGGUAUCGACCCCUGCAGCGCCGAAGUUAACACAAUAAGCACUCCGCCUGGGGAGUACGGCCGCAAGGCUGAA